CUCUACGGCCACGCCCACCCUGAACGUACCCGAUCCCGUCUGAUCUCGGAAGCUAAGCAGGGUCGGGCCUGGUUAGUACUUGGAUGGGAGACCACCUAGGAAGACCAGGUGCUGUAGGUG
rnacentral:rRNA from 1 species